CCAAUUUGCCUUGCUGCAGCACGAAUAUGGUCCCCAACGUAGCGUUAUCGCCCCCUCUUCUUCUAUUUCCCAUCCUGUGUGCGCAAUGCUGCGACUUAUGUUACAUAUACUGCAACUCUCGUUUGCGGCAGAAAUGAUAAGGAAAAGUCGCUAAAUGCCAUCAAAACCCUCGGUGUCAAAACUCCCCAAUGGUUGCCUGAAAAGUAGCUGAAUUUGUCUCUAGAAUCCUUCACAAAUACAAUUCGCUGGAGAGGUCUGAAAAUAUAGCAGCUAAAUUGACAACACUGGAACAGACUUAAUCGAAUCCACUCGACUAUUGCUGCGCGAAAUAAAGGGAAGUCAGAGGACACUGAUGCCCCGGUCCCAUUUCACAGCAAGCAUCCAGACUGCCAAAAUCACAGUACCAGGGACUGCAAAGGGUGAGGGACCACACCAAUAACAUGGGUCACCCCUGCCACAACAACACCAUCAGACUCUGCCAACCCAUGGCCCAUGACACUCAGACCAAACAGGAAAUUCUGGAACUGUGCAGAUAAAACCAGAGGAUUCUGAUCUGGAGAGAGAGGUGAGCAGUGAUUUAUCAUCAUGGCAUAUAGACUGACCAGGUGAAUCCAGGGUAAAGCUAUGAUCCAUUAUUGAUGUCACUUGAAAAAUCUAUGUCAAUCAGUGUAGCUGAAGUGGAGGAGACAGGUUAAAUAUGAUUUUUUUUAAGCCUUGAGACAUGGAUUGUGUAUGUGUGCCAUUCAAAUAACAUUUUAUUUGUCACACACAUGGUUAGCAGAUGUUAUUGCAACGUGCUUGUGCUUCUAGUUCCAACAGUGCAGUAAUAUCUAACAUGUAAUCUAACAAUUUCACAACAACUACCUUAUACACACACAUCUAAAGGGGUGAAUGAGAAUAUGUGGAUGUAAGUAAAUGGAUGAGCGAUGGCCGAGCUGCAUAUGUAACCGAUGUGAAAUGGCUAGCUAGUUAGCGGGGUGCGCACUAAUAGCGUUUCAAUCGGUGACGUCACUCGCUCUGAGACCUUGAAGUAGUUGUUCCCCUUGCCCUGCAAGGUCCGCGGCUUUUGGGUAACGAUGCUUCGUGGGAGGCAGUUGUUGAUAUGUGCAGAGGGUCCCUGGUUCGAGCCCAGGUAGGACAUUGAUGCUGUUGACCCGGAUCACUGGUUUCUGCGGAAGAGGAGGUCAACUCCUGACACCACACUCCGAGUGCCCUCACCUCCUCCCUGUAGGCUGUCUUGCCGUUGUUGGUAAUCAAGCCCACUACUGUUGUGUCAUCUGCAAACUUGAUGAUUGAGUUGGAGGUGUGCAUGGUCACGCAGUUGCGGGUGAACAGGGAGUACAGGGGGUGGCUGAGCACGCACCCUUGAGGGUCAGCGAAGAUGUUGUUUCCUACCUUCAUCACCUGGAGGGCGGUCUGUCAGAAUGUCCAGGACCCAGUUGCAUAGGGCAGAGUUGAGACCCAGGGCCUCAGGCUUGAUGAUGAGCUUGGCGGGUACUAUGGUGUUGAAUGCUGAGCUGUAGCCAAUGAACAGCAUUCUUACAUAGGUAUUCCUUUUGUCCAGAUGGGAUAGGGCAGUGUGAUGGCGAUUGCGUCGUCUGUGGACCUGUUGGGGCGGUAUGCAAACUGAAGUGGGUCUAGGGUGGCCAAUAAGGUGGAGGUGAUAUGAUCCUAGACUAGUCUCUCAAAGCUCUUCAUGAUGACAGAAGUGAGUGCUAUGGGGUGGUAGUCAUUUUGUUCAGUUAUCUUUGCCUUGUUGGGUACAGGAACAAUGGUAGCCAUCUUGAAGCAUGUGGGGACAACAAACUAGGAUAGGGAGCGAUUGAAUAUGUCUGUAAACGUACCAGCCAGCUGGUCUGUGCAUGCUUUGUGGACACGGCUAGGUAUGCCGUCUGGGCCAGCAGCGCUGCGAGGGUUAACAGGUUUAAAUGUUUUACUCACGUCAGCCACAGAGAAGGAGGAGAGGAGGGAGGGGGCGCAGUCCAUGUUAGCUGGCCGCGACGGUGGCACUGUAUUAUCCUCAAAGCAGGCAAAGGUGUUUAGUUUGUCUGGAAGCGUGGCUGGAUUUCUUUUUUUAGUCCGUGAUUUCCUGUAGACCCUGCCACAUACGUCUUGUCUGAGCCAUUGAAUUGCGACUCCACCUUGUCCAUGUACUGGCAUUUCACUUGUUUGAUUGCCUUGCGGAGGGAAUAACUACACGGUUUAUAUUCAGACAUAUUCCCAGACCUCUUUCUAUGGUUAAAUGUGGUGGAUUGUGCUUUCAGUUUUGCGCGAAUGCCACCAUCCAUCCACCGUUUUAAUAGUCACAGUGGGUACAACAUCUCCAAUGCGCUUCUUUAUAAACGCGCUCACCGAGUCAGCAUAUCGGUCAAUGUUUUGAUCAUGCGGACAGGAAUAUGUUCCGGUCAGCCUCAACGAACAACAAUCUUGAAGCAUGGCUUUCGAUUGGUCGGACCAGAGUUGAAUGGUUCUCGUCACUGGUACAUCCUGUUUGAGUUUCUGCCUAUAAGACAGGAGGAGCAAAAUGGCUUUGUGGUCAGAUUUGCAGAAUGGAGGGCUUUGCAUGCAUCGUGGAAGUUAGAGUAGCAGUGGUCGAGGGGAUUGUGCAUGCACAUAGCGCAAUCAAUAUGCUGGAGGAAUUUAGGUAGAC
ensembl:lncRNA